rnacentral:rRNA from 1 species
GAUGAACGCUGGCGGCGUGCUUAACACAUGCAAGUCGAACGAAGCAUUUGCGACAGAUUUUUUCGGAAUGAAGUUGCUUAUGACUGAGUGGCGGACGGGUGAGUAACGCGUGGGUAACCUGCCUUGUACUGGGGGAUAGCAGCUGGAAACGGCUGGUAAUACCGCAUAAGCGCACAAUGUUGCAUGACAUGGUGUGAAAAACUCCGGUGGUAUAAGAUGGACCCGCGUCUGAUUAGCUAGUUGGUGAGAUAACAGCCCACCAAGGCGACGAUCAGUAGCCGACCUGAGAGGGUGACCGGCCACAUUGGGACUGAGACACGGCCCAGACUCCUACGGGAGGCAGCAGUGGGGAAUAUUGCACAAUGGAGGAAACUCUGAUGCAGCGACGCCGCGUGAGUGAAGAAGUAAUUCGUUAAGUAAAGCUCUAUCAGCAGGGAAGAUAGUGACGGUACCUGACGAAGAAGCUCCGGCUAAAUACGUG